UGCUAAUUUAAAACUGUUUUAAAUGACUUUACAGCUGACUCUACCGUUAUUCUGCUGUGAGUAGUAAAUGAUUGUUCUGAUUUAUUUUCACAGACUGGGCUCGCCUCACAAUGAGGCAGUCAGGACAUAUUUAGUUAAAACUUUGGCUGCAAGUUCAGAUGUGGAAGAUGUGGAGACAGACGUCUUUCUAUCUGCUUGUAAAACACAUUUUGAAACUCUACGGAGGAACUACUGGCGGAUCAGGCAGAGGCCAUGAAGUCUUCUGCCCAGAGUCACCAGAGAAGAAAGAGUGUAAGAAGUAUUAGUUUUGUAGGCGAAAUCCACAUUAAAGAGGCCUGGAAAUUCCUGGGGUGAUCUCACUUCACAGAUAAAGACAAGCUCUCUCUCCUCAGAGAGCUACAGUGCUCCAAAGAGGAUUUUUAUGGCCAGAGAACCCUGUACCAUCCACCAGAGACAUCUCCCAGAGACCUCAUAAAUUCGUUAUGAUGACCUCUGACCCUGGUUAAGAUAACCUUCUUUCUGCAAACAAAGACCCAUGGAUUUCUAUUAUAACCAUUCACAGGAAGGACACUCAGGUCCCCUGCAUGUAAAGCAGAGAACUGUAGUUUCACAGAACUUUCACACCUUAGAAUCACCAUUGUAAGACUGUUUCUCACCUUUGGUUAGAAUGCUUUGAACUGAAAGCCCCCUUGCUGACCCUCCGCUCUGUCUCUGGUUCUCUCCAUCAGAUAAGAGUCAUAAAUAUUUUAGUGACCUCUUCCUCACCCCUGAGAGGCUGCAGAAAGACUCUCCCUGUUCAGUUACAGAGCUUUACUUCAAACUCAUGUUUCUGAAAUAUACGUUGGGAUCUUGGGAUUGCCAAUGUCAUAAUAAGAAUUUGUUACGCAUUUUGAAUCAAGGGCUGCUCAGCGGCGUAGUGGUUAGCACUUUUGCCUUGCAGCAAGAAGAUCCCUGGUUCGAAUCCUGGGGUGGGCCUGGGAUCUUUCUGCAUGGAGUUUGCAUGUUGUCCCUGAGCAUGCGUGGGUUUUCUCCGGGCACUCCGGCUUCCUCCCACAGUCCAAAAA